UACAAUGAAGGUGAAUUGUCUGUUUAUUUAAAAAAAAAAAACAAAACAAAAACGAAAGAUCAAUUCUGGAAAAUUUAAUAAAUGAUUUUGAUAAAUUCUACCCAAUUUGGAAACAGAAGAAAGCAUUUAAAUAAAUAAAUAAAUAAAGGUUACACCAGAGAAUUACUUUUGAACUGUCACUAAAUUCACCAUAGCUGAUUUCUUCUGCUUGCGUCAUGUUUCAAAUCUACUCUCUCCCUUCCCCAAAGGUCAGGUCAAGGACUGGCAUGUGUGGUGCAUGUCAAGACCUGUGUCUAAAGAUUGAGACUAAGCCACCACAGCACUUCAUUCUCCCCUGUUCACUUCCACUGCCUGUUUAACACCGCUUCUCUGACCUUAACUGUGCCCACUAUUUUGCCACAGUAUCUGUGACGGAACCUAUUCUCUUUGCUUCAUACCUUGCUUGUCAAAAUGUUGGUGAAAACUUCAAGAGAGUUUUGUUACACGCUGAAAUUUGUCAGAAAAGGGGGAGCAGGUAAAAUGCUGUAAGAUUUAAGUCUGAACUAUUUUUGAGGUCACAACAAAUUUGUCUCAUGGAGUCUUUUUCUCUCCAGGCUUUCCCAGAGGCAGGUCCGUGCGCAGGUUUGAUGCAGCUGAAAUAGGCUACGUCAGUUUCAGUACACUGCAAACGCUUUGGGAUGUGCAAACUUCACCCAUUAGCUAGUUUUGCUGGCUGUGCAGCAUGGCUUACGUGCUCUUGGUGAAGCCCAAGCUGAACUCAUUUAAGCUCAAAGCUACACCCUACUGUUUAGCAAGAACACAAGAUGUGCAGACUGACUUGUGAUUAGUGUCAUGGCCUCAGGUCUUUGAAAAGACUAAAUUGAAGUAUAUUCUUGAGAGAUAUUUGGCAAUUUAAAGAAAUGCAUCAGUUUCACAUAGAAUUGACUAUAUUACUAAAUAAAUUCUGAAAAUGAUUGUACUUAAGUCUACUGAACCACAACUCUAGUCCUCUACAUUAUUUGAUGAGGAAGUACUUCCACACAAGCAAAUACAAUGCAGUUAAAAUUAUUGUCACAAGGGAACUGAACUUAAGUCAGGCAGCUGCUUACUACCUCCCUUUAUGUAACGAUAGAAAAAUGCCUUGGCCAUGCCAGUGGGAUGUGCACCCAGGUGUCUGCGAUGGCACACAGCUGCUGCAGAGCAUCGUGCCCUGUGCAAGCAGUGCUUUCCUCCCCUCUGCUGUCCUUGCUCUCCCGAUAGCUGGGUCAGGCUGGUGCAGUGCAGCAUGCUGUAUCUCGUCCUGCCAGCCCCAGCCCCAGCAGUCUCUGACCUUUUCCAGACCUGAUAUUUGUGAGCUGACAGCAGCUCAGGCCCAGCUUGUGCCAGACUGGUUGUUUUGCUCUGUGAUGAUGGACGAAACAUGAUGCGGCUCUGAUCUGUAUAGCAAGCAGCAUGGCUUGUCAGAGGUCUGAGAGCAUAGAAUUGACUUCUAAAUAAUGGGAACAAUACUAGUAGCAAUUAAAAAGUAUAAUUCCUGCAAAUCUGUCUUUUUUCCUUUAUUUUUUUUUCCUUUCUUCUGUCUCAAAUCAGAAACUGGUUAGUAAGUAAAACAGCGGAUUUCUGCAACAACACUUCUGUCAAGGAAACAUUCUGUACCUGAAUUAACAGUCUUUAAGGCAUUGGUUGCUAUAUGGGUUAUUUGGAUUUAUGGCAACUAUUGGACUUUAAACAUAACCUGUGUCAAAAUGCCAGUUUUCUCCUUUUGUCCUGUAAUCCUCACUGGGGCAGUCCUGCAGGGCUACUGGCUCUGUGCAGUAGAGCUGACACCUGGGUGGCCCCAGUCCACAGCUGUGGCUGUGGGUCUUAAGCUGGAGAGUGGGAUGUGGGUGCCCUGGUGGCGAUGGCCAGGGGCAGGGGGCGGCGAUGCAGCAGGAGGAGGAUGCCAGGGCUGGCUGUGGCCACGCUCCGUCAUACCGCAGGAAUCUCUGCCCUGGGGUGAUGGUCAGCGCCCGAUUAGGAAAAGGCUAAAUGUCAACAUUGUUCUGAACUGCUAACUGGAAAUAUUCCAAGAGCAUUUCAGACACGAGACUUUGGAGUUUUUCUCCUCCUCCUUCCUCAUCCAGCUGCAGUAACUCAUUCUGUCAAGGCCUGAGUGCUGUCCCUUCAGACCUUCAGAUAAAUCCUUUACAGCAACGACUCUAAAAGCUGCCGUAGUGUCUCUUUCUGUCUGUCUGUCUUUCUGUCUUCCCUUCAUCUUCACUAAUUUAUAUGGUGGAGAGUGUCAGCCUGGUAAGGGGACGGCAGUCCUGUGUACAAGGUGGGGGGAGCGGAGCGGGGGCUGAGAGCCCUGCUUUGACACAUGGGGCUUUGCUUUUUGCAGAGGUCAUUAGUGCUCUGCUUGGUGACCACAGCUCGAUUACAAACACCGUGGAGUGGUGACACUGUGCCAAACCGUUUGGAGAGGAGGCCUGUGUUUUUUACUCCCCUUGUCUGAUUUGUUUU
rnacentral:lncRNA from 1 species